UAUGAAUUUCCAUAAACUUCAAGAGCAUAAUCAAUCUCUCCUCUCUAUAUUACAGAGCAAAACUUGCCCAAAUAUGUUAGAGCUGUUGUUCACCCCACUGCUAUCAGUCAGAGCCCAAGGAGUGCACACAUUGAACUGGAACCAUAACCUUGGCGGUCAUAUUUUGAGGAACAGAAGAGCUACUGUGAUCUGAGUCUCUGAAGGGUUAUGUGCACGUGAGCUGCCCGUUGACUUGGAUGCUCAUCUCAGACUGUUGUAGAAGAAAGAACAAAAUAAGUAGGCUCCAUACUCAGCAUAGAGCCCUGUUUCGAACUCAAACUCAUGACCCUAAGAUCAAGAACUGAGCUGAGAUCACCAUGUGAGCCGGAAUCAAGACUCGGAUGCUUAACUGACUGAGCCAUCCAGGCCCCCAGCCGUAUCCUCUUCUAAAGAACUGAUGGCAUCACCCCAGGUAGAAGUUGGUGAGGUCCAUUAGAUGAUGGAGAAGGUUAGCUGGCUCAAACUCCAACAGGCUAAAAUGCAAGAAGCUCACUCUUGAUACCAGACUGCUCAAUGAAGUAGUUAAGAUUAAGGAAGUGGCAGGGGUAUGGAAGGGAUGGAGAGUAAAAAUCUGGAAGGUACAGGUGGUGGGCAGAGCAUGCCUGGAGAAACCUAAAAGUCCAUUCAAAGAAAGGAGAAACCAAAAGUAUCUGCAGUGGAAAGAUUAGUAGUAGGGUGCAAAGAGGAUGAAAUGAGGCAGAGAGACAAAAGUCUGAAUUCUUGUAUUAGAGAGGUGCUGAGGUCACAGCCAGCAGAGAACAGGGCCUGAAGUUAGACCCUGGGAAACAAGCAAGAAUGUAGGCUCUUGGUAUGGGAAGAGACAGACUAAUAACAGGUUUCCAGAUUCAGCCAAGUUUUCUCAACUUUGUUGCUUUUGGCCACAUAGGGGAUGUUUACCUAUUGAAGGCCAGAUAGAGUAGAGAACAAAACCUCAGACAGGUACGGAGAGUGAUCUGUUCCCUAAGUAGACUCAAGGCCAGAAACAGUAUCUCCAAGGUCUGGUGGUUGACCUGGGACAGAGCAGCCUAUCUUCAACUGCAGGUGAAAAAUACUGUGAUUGAUUUGCCAGUAAGUUCGCUGUCUGAUGUUAUUUCUGCUAAAACCCGCAUCCAGGAAGUUCAACUGUUUCAUUUAUUUUGCAAACAGGGUAUGAUCAGGAAACUAUUUAAAGAAAGAGUUAAAAAAGAAAAAAGUUUUGCAGAAGCUAAAUACUUUUUUUUCCAAUUCAUGUGUGACCUUUGAACUUUAUGUUUACAUAAAAAAGACAGGCAGCAGCAGAGUCUGCUCUAAUCUUUAACCAUAACUGAUUUCCAAGAACCUGUGACACUAUUCCCAGUUCCUUUGGUUUGGUUACUUUCAACUGGUUACCAGCAUUUAAACUUAAUCGAGCAUGCUAAAAAUCAGACACAAUGAAAAUGCUAACCUACAUGAAGUUGUGAAACUUUUUGUUCGGAGGGAAGUGUUUCAGCAAAUCCCAAAUCCCAAUGAUGACAUGGCUGCAAAAGUGAGAAGAAUAAUGACUCAACGCUGACUAAGGGAAUUCAGCUGUGGAACUUGUCUGUUCACCAGACUUUAAAAACAAAUUUCGAUGACCAACUUGAAAAGCAAGAGGUAAAUUAAAAUAUGUUAAGCACAUAAAGCAAUGAAAUGACCACUGAGGACCCAACAAAGGUGAAUUGCUGAGAUCCUCCACUUCUUGGCCCAAGCUCAGUGAUUGAAGUCAUUGGCUACUCUUAUGUUCUGAUUCUAGACAGAACGUGUUAUCCAUUCUCUUUGUCUGCAAAGGAUUUUCAGCAUCAGCUAGUCAACCAUGACAAAAGGAAACCAACUUGAAAGUCACAUGAACACUCUGAAGUGUUCUCAGGGAUUAAGGCAUAUGAAUGUACCUAGGUGACAAUGGAACUCGAAGCACUUGGAAAAGUAACGCUGCACCCACUUACACAAGAGUGUUUCUUAGGAUACUUGCCAAACAAUUUUGUUCACCUGAAAUUCUCUGUCUUACUUUCAAGAUCCCGCUGGGCCUGGAGGCAACUGGUUAAGGCAAAGGGAAAGGCAAUCAACCCCAGGAAAGUCAGAUUCAGGUCAAUCAGCAGGGGCUGAGUAGACAGGGCAAGCCACCUUCUGACCUCCUCCAUCACUACUGCUACAGGCUAAGUAAGUCACAGUGAGUCCCUGAAGCUGUGCUUCCUUAUUCUAUGGUGUUAAGCUACAUGAGCACACCAUCCUAUUUACACAUUCUCUAAAGGGAAAAAAGUUUCUUAACCUCUUACUAAGCAAAUAUGAGCCAAAGAGAGCCUUAGAGACAAAAAUAAUAGCCUUCAAAGAAGGAAUAUUUGUGUGUUCAGAUGAAUAAAGCCAGUAAAUGUAGAGGCAAGUAAAUUUUUGUCAUCUGGGAUCUCCUAAAAAAGGAAAAUAAAUGUAUUUCUCUCCUCCUCCCA